rnacentral:rRNA from 1 species
GAUCCUGGGCUCAGGAUGAACGCUAGCUACAGGCUUAACACAUGCAAGUCGAGGGGCAUCAGUUUGGUUUGCUUGCAAACCAAAGCUGGCGACCGGCGCACGGGUGAGUAACACGUAUCCAACCUGCCUCAUACUCGGGGAUAGCCUUUCGAAAGAAAGAUUAAUAUCCGAUAGCAUAUAUUUCCCGCAUGGGUUUUAUAUUAAAGAAAUUCGGUAUGAGAUGGGGAUGCGUUCCAUUAGUUUGUUGG